rnacentral:rRNA from 1 species
UACGUAGGGUGCGAGCGUUAAUCGGAAUUACUGGGCGUAAAGCGUGCGCAGGCGGUUUUAUAAGACAGAUGUGAAAUCCCCGGGCUCAACCUGGGACCUGCAUUUGUGACUGUAUGGCUGGAGUAUGGUAGAGGGGGAUGGAAUUCCGCGUGUAGCAGUGAAAUGCGUAGAUAUGCGGAGGAACACCGAUGGCGAAGGCAAUCCCCUGGACCUGUACUGACGCUCAUGCACGAAAGCGUGGGGAGCAAACAGG